rnacentral:sRNA from 1 species
GAUUUGUAAAUAUCAGUCGGGGUUACCGAGGAUCUAUAACAACGAUUUGUUUUUCACUUUUAGUUAAAAUCUUUGUACGGCUGACUAGAUUUUAACUUGCGAUAUACUGUAGAGCUAUAUUUGUUUUUAAUAAAAUUUAAAUUGCUUUGUAGGUUAAAAAUAUAUA